AGCACAUCAAGCAAUUGAAUGAGAAAUGCCAAAUCACUUUAUGGCUUUUAUUUUUGUGUGAUAUCUGGAGCUUCCAAAGCUGUUAUCAAACAAUAAUUGUCUUAAAGAUAUAGUGAUGAUAUUGCAACACAGUCUCACUCUCUACUCGUCAAAUGUCUGACGCAUGGUCAAGUGAUCUGGCGUCACUUUUUUGACGCACUGGGUAUACCUUUGGCGUUAUUUUUCAACGUGCAGGUUAGUCCGAUAGACUUCUAUAGAACUCAGUAGCGUUUAUAUUUGACUUCUUGGUUCAGCACACCACAACUACACUGAAUAAAUAAAAAUAAAUAAUAGGCUACAAAAAUAUAUAUAUAUAUGACAGAGAUCGUUUUUAUCUGGCCCUCCAACUUGUUUUUGAGGUUUAAAUAUUCUCGCAAUCUGAUAUUAAAGUGAUCUCUGUGCCAAAGCUUAGCGCGUUCAUCAGUGGUGAGUUUAACAACACUCAACUGCAGGUAAAACAGCACUCAGCGGUGAGUUUGACCAAAGCAACACUCAACUGCAGGGAAAACGACAUAAAAGGUGAGUUUAACAACGCUCCAAGGCGCGUGCAAGUAAGCAGUUUAACCGUUUUCUUACAACCAAUUUCGCUUAUCGCUUAUUCAUAGUUCAUCAUCUCUAUGAAAUCACGUUCAAGAAGUCUCAUUCAGCACACAUCGCGAUACUUGCCAUCAGUUUCCAUGUGCCACAGGGUCGAUGUAAAGGAAGCAGUCAUCCCUGUGGUGUUUGUGGAGAGGUUUUCCUUCAGAAAUGGAGAAGACUGAAAGCUGCGGAGGCAGACAUUUGCAGCAGAUUGUUCGCAGAUAAUGAUGUUCUUCUCGAUCAUGCACAAGGACUCACCUCUUUAACUCUUUAUCUUCCCAACACACACAGAAAUGCUCCCUUUAUCAGUGUUUAGACUUUGCAGUGCAGUUUUGUUUUAGUUCUAAGCUUAUAAUGAAUACAUUGUGACCUUCCAGCAACCCAUAUAUUGUAUACAGAACCAGUGAUCAAAACAAUGGUUGAAAAUAGUAUUUUUAUAUUGAUAAAGCAUUAUGUUCUCUUUUUCAAGCUUCAUACAGUAAACUUUACUUCUGGUGCUUUUAUCAUAAAAAAACAAACAUCAGUUCUCAUCAGCAGUUUUCGUAAAGGACGUAUUCAUGCACAGCCAUCCCCUAGUUCCAGUCAUGAAGUGAAUGAUGUUAUUGUCAGUUUUAUUUCUGCAAUUUUAUGUAGCAGGUGUUUGUUUUCCUGAACGUUAUCUUUCUUCCAUUGUUCGGACAAUCAGUGUUUAUUUGAUGCUGUGCUGAUGGAGGUUUAUAGAUGAUAUUGCACACUUGACAUGCAUGUCUUCAUGGUCUUUAUUUUCUGAGUUUGAAACAGUGUGUUGUAUCACUUUUUGGUCAAAUAAAUUCUUCAGUGUUCUCUGAAA